rnacentral:lncRNA from 1 species
UUUAUUGCAUCCAUUAGGCUUCUAAAGUGAUCUCCCUGAGAUUGAUUGAGGGCUGUCACUAGUGCUUCAAACUCAUGAGUUGCCCUGUCAAUCCUUCCUCUAAGUUGGGCAGCCACACUGCCCACAUUUCCUUCAGAGCUCGUCAACUCUUGAAGACCAUCCGAUAUGAUCUUCAAUUCAGCCUGUAUCUCACAUGAUCUUCUAGUUUGGUUUGUUGCCACACAAACCAAUUCUGACCCUAUAGCUUC